rnacentral:rRNA from 1 species
AGAGUUUGAUCCUGGCUCAGGAUGAACGCUGGCGGCGUGCCUAAUACAUGCAAGUCGAGCGAAUGGAUUAAGAGCUUGCUCUUAUGGAGUUAGCGGCGGACGGGUGAGUAACACGUGGGUAACCUGCCCAUAAGACUGGGAUAACUCCGGGAAACCGGGGCUAAUACCGGAUAACAUUUUGAACCGCAUGGUUCGAAAUUGAAAGGCGGCUUCGGCUGUCACUUAUGGAUGGACCCGCGUCGCAUUAGCUAGUUGGUGAGGUAACGGCUCACCAAGGCAACGAUGCGUAGCCGACCUGAGAGGGUGAUCGGCCACACUGGGACUGAGACACGGCCCAGACUCCUACGGGAGGCAGCAGUAGGGAAUCUUCCGCAAUGGACGAAAGUCUGACGGAGCAACGCCGCGUGAGUGAUGAAGGCUUUCGGGUCGUAAAACUCUGUUGUUAGGGAAGAACAAGUGCUAGUUGAAUAAGCUGGCACCUUGACGGUACCUAACCAGAAAGCCACGGCUAACUACGUGCCAGCAGCCGCGGUAAUACGUAGGUGGCAAGCGUUAUCCGGAAUUAUUGGGCGUAAAGCGCGCGCAGGUGGUUUCUUAAGUCUGAUGUGAAAGCCCACGGCUCAACCGUGGAGGGUCAUUGGAAACUGGGAGACUUGAGUGCAGAAGAGGAAAGUGGAAUUCCAUGUGUAGCGGUGAAAUGCGUAGAGAUAUGGAGGAACACCAGUGGCGAAGGCGACUUUCUGGUCUGUAACUGACACUGAGGCGCGAAAGCGUGGGGAGCAAACAGGAUUAGAUACCCU